rnacentral:rRNA from 1 species
CACGGACCAAGGAGUCUAACAUGUGCGCGAGUCACUGGGAACCACUAAACCCAGAGGCGCAAUGAAAGUGGGGCGGCCUCGUGCCUGCCAAGGGAGGAUGGCUCUCCUCUCAAGGGGGAGCCCGCACUCCCGGGGCGCCCCGGCUUCGGCCGUGGGCGCACUCUGAGCGUACACGUUGGGACCCGAAAGAUGGUGAACUAUGCCUGGUCAGGACGAAGUCAGGGGAAACCCUGAUGGAGGUCCGCAGCGAUUCUGACGUGCAAAUCGAUCGUCAGAGCUGGGUAUAGGGGCGAAAGACUAAUCGAACCAUCUAGUAGCUGGUUCCCUCCGAAGUUUCCCUCAGGAUAGCUGGCGCCCGCUUUGAACGAGACGAGUCUCAUCCGGUAAAGCGAAUGAUUAGAGGCCUUGGGGCCGAAACGACCUCAACCUAUUCUCAAACUUUAAAUGGGUGAGAACUCCGGCUUGCUCGAGUGAAGCCGCGAGGUGGAUCAGGGUGCCAAGUGGGCCAUUUUUGGUAAGCAGAACUGGCGCUGUGGGAUGAACCAAACGCCGGGUUAAGGCGCCUAAACCGGAGCUCAUGGGAGACCAUGAAAGGCGUUGGUUGCUUAAGACAGCAGGACGGUGGCCAUGGAAGUCGGAAGCCGCUAAGGAGUGUGUAACAACUCACCUGCCGAAGCAACUAGCCCUGAAAAUGGAUGGCGCUAAAGCUCCGUGCCUAUACCCGGCCGCCGGUAGGCAUAGGCGUGAGCCGUCCCUUCGGGGGCGGCGAGCGCGCGAAGCCCCGGCGAGUAGGAGGGCGCGGCGGUGUGCGCGGAAGGGUCUGGGCGCGAGCCUGCCUGGAGCCGCCGCCGGUGCAGAUCUUGGUGGUAGUAGCAAAUACUCAAGCGAGGGCCUUGAGGGCUGAUGUGGAGAAGGGUUUCGUGUGAACAGCCGUUGCACACGAGUCAGUCGAUCCUAAGCCCUAGGAGAAAUCCGAUGUCGAUGCGGGGGGCUUGCACUUUGAAAAGGCUAAGACUUCCCCCUCGAUGGGCGAAAGGGAAUCCGGUUCCUAUUCCGGAACCCGGCAGCGGAACCGAAUCUACGGGCCCUCGUCAGAGAAGCUCGUCGGGGUAACCCAAAGGGACCCGGAGACGCCGUCGGGAGACCCGGGCAGAGUUUUCUGUUCUGCAUAAGCGUUCGAGUUCCCUGGAAUCCUCUAGCAGGGAGAUAGGGUUUGGAACGCGAAGAGCACCGCAGUUGCGGCGGUGUCCGGGUCGUCCCCUCGGACCUUGAAAAUCCGGGAGAGGGUCACGCGGAGGUGUCGCGCCGGCUCGUACCCAUAUCC